rnacentral:rRNA from 1 species
UACGGGGGGGGCAAGCGUUGUUCGGAAUUACUGGGCGUAAAGGGCGCGUAGGCGUGUGGACAAGUCUCUCGUGAAAGCCCACGGCUCAACCGUGGAAUUGCGGGAGAUACUGUCUGUCUUGAGUCCGGGAGAGGAGGGUGGAAUUCCCAGUGUAGCGGUGAAAUGCGUAGAUAUUGGGAGGAACACCGGUGGCGAGGGCGGCUCUCUGGACCGGUACUGACGCUGAGGCGCGAAAGCUAGGGGAGCAAACAGG